ensembl:lncRNA TPTE2-AS1 TPTE2 antisense RNA 1
GGGGGAGAGGCACGGAAAGGCCCGCAGCAGCGGAACUUACAGGAGAUCAGACAGAAGCGGAAGUGGUUUCGUGCCCUUCAAGUCCAGCACAGCCUUGCCUUGGGGCCUUCAGCUUAGGCACGGAAUCUUCUUUGGCCUGGAAUAGCCGUCCCAAAGACUGUCCCAUGAUUGGUUCCUUCACACCAUCUGCUUUAGCUCAGCAGGGCUUUCUCAGGAGUACAUCGCAUCUAGCCAAGCCGACCUUCCCGCUCUGUCAUGUCGGGCCGUUUCCUUGCCUUCUUGCACACAGCACUAUCUGAAAUAAUCUCCUUCCAGUCAUUCAGCACAUUCAUUGAGUGCCUGCUCGUAUGCCCUGUCUUAUGCACUUGGGAUAGAUCAAGGUACAAAUGCAACACCUUCUCUACCCUGGUGGAAUUUACAGGCCUUGUGAAUUACAUUGUUUCCUUUUUCAUCAUCCGCCUCUGGCUAAAAUGUAAGCUCUAGGGGAGCAGGGACCUCUGUCAGCCUUGUUCUCUACUUUUUCCCAAGAGCCUAGAACUGUGUCUGGUACAUCCUUCAUGGUCAAUCAAUAUUUGUGGAAUGAAUAAACAAAUGUUUAUAUUAACC